AAUAAUUUUUUGGUGCUGAUAUAAUCACUAGAAUACGGCUAGUAAGUUUCUACCCUGGACCGUAAAUCCCGGACUAUGAGCAUUCUUAUUCA
rnacentral:ncRNA from 1 species